GAGUGUUUCAAUCAGUAUCGAAACUUCACAAUUUAUCGUCCUUGAUCUCACCUACUCUCUAACGAAACCUGCAACCAUGUUUCGAGUCAUCUCAGUGAUUCUCCUGCUAAUUGCAACCGUAAAAUGUCAAAAUUUAACGGAACUUUGUAAUACAAACUCAGGAGAAGUAGGUUUUAACUUCAUAAGAAAUCCUGCCAACUGCAGCGAGUUCUAUAGUUGUGUGAAUGCUUUCCCUCCUAUAAAACUUUCCUGCGGUAAAGGCACUGUCUUUUCCCAAGCUCACCAAGUCUGUGUAUUCAAGAACAGUCAUUACGAUGAUUGUGAAAAAGAAAUUUCUCCUGGAAAAUACAAUGAUCCUCGAUGUGAGAUUGAAACCGGACUGAAUAAAGAUCCAACUGAUUGUAACCGUUUUAUUCCAUGUUAUAACGGCACCUCUUAUCUCUCAAUGCCAUGCCAAAAGAGCCUACAUUUUAAUGUUGCGGAACAAAGAUGUAUGGAACCGGAAAAAUCGGACUGUGAAUAAAAUGGCAAUACUUCUCGAUGGUUCCAUGAUGGCAUAACAGAUUUGUGGUUUACUAAUUUCCAAAUUAUCUAAAACCAAAAAACACUGAAGAUAAAUGAAUAAAACAACUUUAAACCAUGAA